rnacentral:rRNA from 1 species
UACGUAGGGGGCUAGCGUUGUCCGGAAUCAUUGGGCGUAAAGAGCGUGUAGGCGGCCCGGUAAGUCCGCUGUGAAAGUCAAAGGCUCAACCUUUGAAUGUCAGCGGAUACUGCCGGGCUAGAGUCCGGAAGAGGCGAGUGGAAUUCCUGGUGUAGCGGUGGAAUGCGCAGAUAUCAGGAGGAACACCAACGGCGAAGGCAGCUCGCUGGGACGGUACUGACGCUGAGACGCGAAAGCGUGGGGAGCGAACAGG